GCAGGAUGUCCCGGUGCACGCUGCUGUGGUGCCUGGAUUCUGUGGCUGUGGUGGCUGAAGCCUGGUUGUGCCAACAUGCUUUGUUUCACUCAGCACAGAAGAUGUCAAGCGCUGGAAAAGCUCAGGCAAGGAGGAGUGACAUGGCUUCCCCAAGGUGAUGUGCUGAGUUGGUGUCAAACCAGGAGGAAGAUCCUGUGUUUCCUGCCUGCUGUGUGGGUGCUGUGUCUCAUCAUGUUGGCAAGGUGGUGAGAAGAAACAGCUUGAUGACCCUCGAGAGCAAAAAUCUCCAUUUACUUGCACUUACAAACUCUUACCUGCUUUGCCAAGGCAUCCUACAUCUGCCAAGAGGAGUUCUGGAAAAAGGAAAGAUCUGCUGUGAGAUUACAGUGAGGCAUCUGACUUCUAAGGACCGAAAAUAAGAGAAAGUAUCCCAGAUAACUGAGACCAACCACCCCGACCAAGCUCAU